CUUCAUUUGUCUCUCAAUAUAGACAAGUUAUUUCUGUGCCUCAUUUUCAUCCAUUCAGAUAUCAACAACUGAGCUAUUUCUCCUUCUCUGACUCAGAAGAAAGACAGAAAACUGUGAAAUAGCACGAGGAAACAACUUCUUGCGGAAGCACUUUGAUACCAUAAGGAGAAAAAAAAAAAAAAAAACGAGCUGAAGACAGCCUUCAUUCCAAGAGUAUUUUGGGCCACUGAUUUUUAUCACCCAGAAAUCAAUCAGAAGGGCACACAAUGCCUAGAAAUCCCAAACCAGCUACUACAUCUAAGAGGUUCAUGAAUGAAGGCCACGGUGUUUGUGAAUACAAGAGAAGAGAGAAAAUGUGUCUCGCUAGCAAAAUUCAAAGGAGAUGCCCAUCAAGAAGAAAACAAAAGCUUUCCUCUGACACCAUCUGGCAUAAGAAAGCUAUGGUAGGUGGUGGUGAAACUUCCAAUCUAGUCCAUACAUUACAGCUGCACCUGUGACAGAACUAAAGGAACUUUUGGCAACACCAAAAAUUGGGAUACAAGUUGGGCAAUCUACAUGGAUCCUUUCUCCUGAGAAGCAAGAACAUGAGAGAAUUGAAUACCAAUUUGCCCAGUUAAAUGAUUAAAAGAGUGGAAAAAGAAACCAUGAAGAAGUCCUCAGGUAUCAGAGCUGUCUUCAUAAGAUGGCUUUUUAUUCUAAUAAAAUUUUGAGGGUUAAUUAUCGUACCUGACCU
rnacentral:lncRNA from 1 species